AGAGAGCUUGCUCUCUUGAUUAGUGGCGCACGGGUGAGUAAUAUAUAGAUAACGUGCCUCUUAGUCUGGGAUAGCCAUUGGAAACGAUGAUUAAUACCGGAUAGUCUCGCAAGAGUAAAAAUUUAUUGCUUGGGGAGGAGUCUACAUUCUAUCAGUUAGUUGGUGAGGUAAAAGCUCACCAAGACUAUGACGGAUAGCUGGUCUGAGAGGAUGAUCAGCCACAAUGGAACUGAGACACGGUCCAUACUCC
rnacentral:rRNA from 1 species